CCUACGGGAGGCAGCAGUAAGGAAUAUUGGUCAAUGGGCGCAAGCCUGAACCAGCCAUGCCGCGUGCAGGAAGACGGCCCUAUGGGUUGUAAACUGCUUUUGAACAAGAGAAAACCUCGGUACGUGUACCGAGCUGAUAGUAUUGUUAGAAUAAGCAUCGGCUAACUUCGUGCCAGCAGCCGCGGUAAGACGAAGGAUGCAAGCGUUAUCCGGAUUCAUUGGGUUUAAAGGGUGCGUAGGCGGCCUGAUAAGUCAGUGGUGAAAUCUCUCAGCUUAACUGAGAAACUGCCAUUGAUACUGUCGGGCUUGAGUACAGAUGAUGUGGGCGGAAUAUGACAUGUAGUGGUGAAAUACUUAGAUAUGUCAUAGAACACCGAUUGCGAAGGCAGCUCACAAAACUGUAACUGACGCUGAGGCACGAAAGUGCGGGGAUCAAACAGGAUUAGAUACCCUGGUAGUCCGCACCGUAAACGAUGAUUACUCGUUGUUGGCAAUAUGACCGUCAGCGACCAAGCGAAAGCGAUAAGAAUCCACCGNGGAGACGCCGGCGACGAGAACGUAAAGUAAGUAGACGGACGAGAGAGAGCGACGGACGACACGAGGGGAGGUUAGG
rnacentral:rRNA from 1 species